GGCGGCACGCCUAACACAUGCAAGUNGAACGCAGUAGCAAUACUGAGUGGCGAACGGGUGAGUAUAAUGUAGGUAUCUGCCUUUUGGUUUGGAAUAACACGAGGAAACUUGUGCUAAUACCAAAUAAGCCUUCACAGGGAAAGUUUUAACGCCGAAAGAUGAGCCUGCACUUGAUUAGCUAGUUGGUAAGGUAAUGGCUUACCAAGGCUACGAUCAAUAKCUGUUCUUAGAGGAAGAUCAGCCACAUUGGGACUGAGACACGGCCCAAMCUCCUACGGGAGGCAGCAGUGGGGAAUCUUGCACAAUGGGGGAAACCCUGAUGCAGCGAUGCCGCGUGAGUGAAGAAGGCCUUUGGGUUGUAAAGCUCUUUCGUCGGGGAAGAAAAUGACUGUACCCGAAUAAGAAGGUCCGGCUAACUUCGUGCCAGCAGCCGCGGUAAUACGAAGGGACCUAGCGUAGUUCGGAAUUACUGGGCUUAAAGAGCACGUAGGUGGUUAAGAAAGUUGGUGGUGAAAUCCCAAGGCUCAACCUUGGAACUGCCACCAAAACUUUUUAACUAGAGUAUGAUUGAGGUAAGCGGAAUUUCUAGUGUAGAGGUGAAAUUCGUAGAUAUUAGGAAGAACACCAAUUGCGAAGGCAGCUUUCUGGAUCAUUACUGACACUGAGGUGCGAAAGCAUGGGUAGCGAAGAGGAUUAGAUACCCUCGUAGUCCAUGCCGUAAACGAUGUGUGCUAGACGUUGGAAAUUUAUUUUUCAGUGUCGCAGCAAAACAUU
rnacentral:rRNA from 1 species